GCGUGAGUAGUAUAAUUUUAGUACUGUGUCUUUCCAAGCCACGAGUUCCUUUUGAUGGACUUGCGUA
rnacentral:tRNA from 1 species